ACUCCUGCGGGAGGCAGCAGUGGGGAAUAUUGCACAAUGGGCGCAAGCCUGAUGCAGCCAUGCCGCGUGUGUGAAGAAGGCCUUCGGGUUGUAAAGCACUUUCAGCGGGGAGGAAGGCGAUACGGUUAAUAACCGUGUUGAUUGACGUUACCCGCAGAAGAAGCACCGGCUAACUCCGUGCCAGCAGCCGCGGUAAUACGGAGGGUGCAAGCGUUAAUCGGAAUUACUGGGCGUAAAGCGCACGCAGGCGGUCUGUCAAGUCGGAUGUGAAAUCCCCGGGCUCAACCUGGGAACUGCAUUCGAAACUGGCAGGCUUGAGUCUUGUAGAGGGGGGUAGAAUUCCAGGUGUAGCGGUGAAAUGCGUAGAGAUCUGGAGGAAUACCGGUGGCGAAGGCGGCCCCCUGGACAAAGACUGACGCUCAGGUGCGAAAGCGUGGGGAGCAAACAGGAUUAGAUACCCCAGUAGUCCCAUGA
rnacentral:rRNA from 1 species